CUUGGCGGCAAUAGCGCGGUGGUCCCACCUGACCCCAUGCCGAACUCAGAAGUGAAACGCCGUAGCGCCGAUGGUAGUGUGGGGUCUCCCCAUGCGAGAGUAGGACACUGCCAAGC
rfam:Serratia marcescens FGI94, complete genome.